GAGUUUUAUUAAGGAGGCUCCCCUCUUCCAUUCUCUUUAGGGUUUGUUUUACGUUUUAUCAGCUCGUCCCCUUUGUAGCGCCGCUCUUCUUCUGUUCAGUCAAUCUCCUCAAUGGCACCGAAGAAGGACAAAGUUCCACCACCGUCCUCUAAGCCCGCCAAAUCCGGCGGCGGAAAGCAGAAGAAGAAGAAGUGGAGCAAGGGAAAGCAAAAGGAGAAGGUGAACAACAUGGUUCUCUUCGAUCAGGCUACUUACGACAAGCUUCUCUCCGAAG